rnacentral:rRNA from 1 species
AGUGAACGCUGGCGGCAUGCCUUACACAUGCAAGUCGAACGGUAACAGGUCUUCGGAUGCUGACGAGUGGCGAACGGGUGAGUAAUACAUCGGAACGUGCCUAGUAGUGGGGGAUAACUACUCGAAAGAGUGGCUAAUACCGCAUGAGAUCUACGGAUGAAAGCAGGGGAUCGCAAGACCUUGUGCUACUAGAGCGGCCGAUGGCAGAUUAGGUAGUUGGUGGGAUAAAAGCUUACCAAGCCGACGAUCUGUAGCUGGUCUGAGAGGACGAUCAGCCACACUGGGACUGGGACACGGCCCAGACUCCUACGGGAGGCAGCAGUGGGGAAUUUUGGACAAUGGGCGCAAGCCUGAUCCAGCAAUGCCGCGUGCAGGAUGAAGGCCUUCGGGUUGUAAACUGCUUUUGUACGGAACGAAAAGCCCCGGGUUAAUACCCUGGGGUCAUGACGGUACCGUAAGAAUAAGCACCGGCUAACUACGUGCCAGCCGCCGCCGUAA